GGAAGCUUGGCAGAGUGGUCGAUUGCACCGGUCUUGAAAACCGGCAUACCGUAAGGUAUCCAGGGUUCGAAUCCCUGAGCUUCCGCCA
rnacentral:tRNA from 1 species